UACGGAGGGUGCUAGCGUUAAUCGGAAUUACUGGGCGUAAAGCGCGCGCAGGCGGCUAAGUAAGCCGGGUGUGAAAGCCCCGGGCUCAACCUGGGAAUGGCAUCCGGAACUGGUAAGCUAGAGUGCAGAAGAGGAAGGUAGAAUUCCCGGUGUAGCGGUGAAAUGCGUAGAGAUCGGGAGGAAUACCAGUGGCGAAGGCGGCCUCCUGGUCAGACACUGACGCUGAGGUGCGAAAGCGUGGGUAGCAAACAGG
rnacentral:misc_RNA from 1 species